AGACACUCCUCCGACCGCGGACCUAGCUGGCCCUCCCUCUCCUUGCCUUCAUCGUGAACGAAAAAUCCUACCUAGAAUGGGAGAUGCUAAUACACAAUGAUCGGAAAGAAUUCAAUUUUGUCCCCAUCCAUGUUGUUGAAAAUGACAGGAUCUCAUUCUUUUUUAUGGCUGAAUACUUCUCCAUUGUGUAUAUGUACCACAUUUUCUUUAUCCAUUCAUCUGUUAAUGGACAUUCACUUUGCUUCCAAAUUUUGGCUAUUGUGAAUAGUGCUGCAAUAAACAUGGGAGUGCAAAUAUCUCACUGA
rnacentral:lncRNA from 1 species